rnacentral:rRNA from 1 species
AGCAGCCGCCGCGGGAAAACGGAGGGUGCAAGCGUUAAUCGGAAUUACUGGGCGUAAAGCGCACGCAGGCGGUCUGACAAGUCAGAUGUGAAAUCCCCGGGCUUAACCUGGGAACUGCAUUUGAAACUGUCAGGCUGGAGUCUUGUAGAGGGGGGUGGAAUUCCAGGUGUAGCGGUGAAAUGCGUAGAGAUCUGGAGGAAUACCGGUGGCGAAGGCGGCCCCCUGGACAAAGACUGACGCUCAGGUGCGAAAGCGUGGGGAGCAAACAGGAUUAGAUACCCGAGUAGUCCCUGUCUCUUAUAC